rnacentral:rRNA from 1 species
AGCGAACGCUGGCGGCAGGCUUAACACAUGCAAGUCGAACGGUCCUUCGGGAUAGUGGCGGACGGGUGAGUAACACGUGGGAACGUACCCUUAGGUUCGGAACAACACAGGGAAACUUGUGCUAAUCCCGGAUAAGCCCUUCGGGGGAAAGAUUUAUCGCCUUUGGAGCGGCCCGCGUCUGAUUAGCUUGUUGGAGAGGUAAUGGCUCACCAAGGCUACGAUCAGUAGCUGGUCUGAGAGGAUGGCCAGCCACACUGGGACUGAGACACGGCCCAGACUCCUACGGGAGGCAGCAGUGGGGAAUCUCGCGCAAUGGGCGAAAGCCUGACGCAGCCAUGCCGCGUGGAUGAUGAAGGUCUUAGGAUUGUAAAAUCCUUUCACCGGGGACGAUAAUGACGGUACCCGGAGAAGAAGCCCCGGCUAACUUCGUGCCAGCCGCCGCAGUAA